GCCCAGACUCCUACGGGAGGCAGCAGUGGGGGAUAUUGCACAAUGGGGGGAACCCUGAUGCAGCGACGCCGCGUGGGUGAAGGAGUAUUUCGGUAUGUAAGGCCCUAUCGGCAGGGAAGAAGCAAGACGGUACCUGACUAAGAAGCCCCGGCUAACUACGUGCCAUCAGCCGCGGUAAUACGUAGGGGGCGACCGUUAUCCGGAUACACUGGGUGUAAAGGGAGCGCAGACGGCGACGCAAGUCUGGAGUGAAAGCCCGGGGCCCAACCCCGGGACUGCUCUGGAAACGGCGUCGCUGGAGUACGGGAGGGGCAGGCGGAAUUCCUGGUGUAGCGGUGAAAUGCGUAGAUAUCAGGAGGAACACCGGCGGCGAAGGCGGCCUGCUGGACCGUGACUGACGUUGAGGCUCGAGAGCGUGGGGAGCAACCAGGAUUAGAUACCCUGGUAGG
rnacentral:rRNA from 1 species